UGCAAACCCCACACUUUCUUUUUACUUCCUAUGUUCAUAAAACUAUUCACUGCUCCCCCCGCCCUCCCCAGACAGAACAGGGCUAAUUAUGAUUUCAUAGUCAUGUAUAAGGAAAUCCCCAGUCAUUUUUUAGGGUUGCAGUUAUGUAAUUACAGUCAGCCCAAAUCUAUCAUUUUAGAAGUAGGUUUUAGUCUAAACAGAUCCUGCCUGUCAGGUUUUGAAGCAGUGGGUGAAAACAGUCUCUCGAUCUGCUCAGGAAUGAGCUGCUAUCUGGGGACACAGAGAGCCUGAGAGUGACUUCACCACCUAUUCAUUUAUUUACUUGAAGAUUUACGCUGUUGUAGCCUAGGCUGAAUCUGCUGGUUCAAAAAAUGUUAAGAACUGCUGAAUAAACAAUUAAACUUUUCCUAAGAGCUCCAGGUGCAGACGGUUUUCAAGUAAAUAGCCUACGCAUGAUAUGAAAGGACAGGACAGACUCCCGCCCAGAAAAACAGAUCCUCGUGUCCUUCCGCUGGUUGUUCCUCCUCUGGAGUGGUGGCGAUGAGAAGAGAAGCUCCCCAACCAAGUUACAAGCUCAAGGAAAUAAGACCUGAUACUCUCUGUGACCUCAAUCUACGUGUAGAUUCACUGUAAGAGAUGUCAGUUUCAGCAAUGAAGACUGUUCCUGUAUCCAAUCCCAGGAGGGGAUCUGUACAAAACUGUACACACUUUUGAAUAACUGAUACUGGAUCAAUAUAUAAAAAAGGCAGAAAUUAAUCAUA